rnacentral:rRNA from 1 species
ACGUAGGGGGCAAGCGUUAUCCGGAUUUACUGGGUGUAAAGGGAGCGUAGACGGGACAGCAAGUCUGAUGUGAAAGGCAGGGGCUCAACCCCUGGACUGCAUUGGAAACUGUUGACCUGGAGUACCGGAGGGGUAAGCGGAAUUCCUAGUGUAGCGGUGAAAUGCGUAGAUAUUAGGAGGAACACCGGUGGCGAAGGCGGCUUACUGGACGGUAACUGACGUUGAGGCUCGAAAGCGUGGGGAGCAAACAG